AUUCUGGGUUUGGCAGAAAUCUGAUCAAAUUUGGCAGAAGAGGACUAGCCAUGAUGAGACUUGUAGUAUGCGCACUUCCUUCAAUUGAGUAGAACAUACAGUUUCGCGAUUCCGUCUUGUCAAACAGUUAGUACGAGCUUUUCUCAUGAGUUAUACAGUACGAGCUUUUCUCAUUAAUUACACGGGUUUAUGAUAAAACCGCGUUCAUUUUCGUUUGUGAAUGAACAUGAAAUGAAGAAUUGCUUGAAAUCGUGUGAAUUCGGAAGAAAGUAGCCCUUGACUCUAGGAAGCCUAAAUCUACCGCCAUCCGUGAGAAGCAGGGUAUUGAUGACGUUUCCUCGUCAGAAAAUUGUAGGUUACAUGGUAGAAUGUUAAAGGAGGUUCAAAUAGUAGAUUAACCAAAGAAAUCAGAUUGAUAGCGUGUAUAUUACGGCCCAAGUUUUAACUGCAAUGUUAUGACCGCCUAUCAGACUCAUAGGCUAGCUAUAUAGCCUAGUAGGCUAGGUAUGUCUUCUGCGGUCUGCUCCGUUUUUGCUAGGCAACCACAGCGAAAAAGUUAUGUGCCACCGGUGAAUCUUUGUACAGUAGUUCGGAUGACUGAUAAUUGUAGUUCGUCUGAUACAAAGAUUGGAAUACAAGACACUAGAUAAGAUGGAUACCGUGGCACUCAUGAGGAAGAUAGGUGAAAAUACUAAACCAUCGAUGCUCUGAAUUUAACAAGAAACCAUUAAUAAAUCAAAUCUAAAGC